rnacentral:rRNA from 1 species
UACGAAGGGAGCUAGCGUUGUUCGGAAUCACUGGGCGUAAAGCGCACGUAGGCGGAUGUGUCAGUCAGGGGUGAAAUCCCGGAGCUCAACUUCGGAACUGCCUUUGAUACAGCACGUCUUGAGUCCGAUAGAGGUGGGUGGAAUUCCUAGUGUAGAGGUGAAAUUCGUAAGAUAUUAGGAAGAACACCGGGUGGCGAAGGCGGCCCACUGGGAUCGGUA